rnacentral:rRNA from 1 species
GCUAACACAUGCAAGUCGAACGGUAGCACAGAGAGCUUGCUCUCGGGUGACGAGUGGCGGACGGGUGAGUAAUGUCUGGGAAACUGCCUGAUGGAGGGGGAUAACUACUGGAAACGGUAGCUAAUACCGCAAAACGUCGCAAGACCAAAGAGGGGGACCUUCGGGCCUCUUGCCAUCAGAUGUGCCCAGAUGGGAUUAGCUAGUAGGUGGGGUAACGGCUCACCUAGGCGACGAUCCCUAGCUGGUCUGAGAGGAUGACCAGCCACACUGGAACUGAGACACGGUCCAGACUCCUACGGGAGGCAGCAGUGGGGAAUAUUGCACAAUGGGCGCAAGCCUGAUGCAGCCAUGCCGCGUGUAUGAAGAAGGCCUUCGGGUUGUAAAGUACUUUCAGCGGGGAGGAAGGUGUUGUGGUUAAUAACCACAGCAAUUGACGUUACCCGCAGAAGAAGCACCGGCUAACUCCGUGCCAGCAGCCGCGGUAAUACGGAGGGUGCAAGCGUUAAUCGGAAUUACUGGGCGUAAAGCGCACGCAGGCGGUCUGUCAAGUCGGAUGUGAAAUCCCCGGGCUCAACCUGGGAACUGCAUUCGAAACUGGCAGGCUGGAGUCUUGUAGAGGGGGGUAGAAUUCCAGGUGUAGCGGUGAAAUGCGUAGAGAUCUGGAGGAAUACCGGUGGCGAAGGCGGCCCCCUGGACAAAGACUGACGCUCAGGUGCGAAAGCGUGGGGAGCAAACAGGAUUAG